UACGAAGGGGGCUAGCGUUGCUCGGAAUCACUGGGCGUAAAGGGUGCGUAGGCGGGUCUUUAAGUCAGGGGUGAAAUCCUGGAGCUCAACUCCAGAACUGCCUUUGAUACUGAAGAUCUUGAGUUCGGAGAGGUGAGUGGAACUGCGAGUGUAGAGGUGAAAUUCGUAGAUAUUCGCAAGAACACCAGUGGCGAAGGCGGCUCACUGGCCCGAUACUGACGCUGAGGUGCGAAAGCGUGGGAGCAACAGGG
rnacentral:rRNA from 1 species